GGAAGCAUAGCUCAGUUGGGAGAGCAUCUGCCUUACAAGCAGGGGGUCAUAGGUUCGAGCCCUAUUGUUUCCACCA
rnacentral:tRNA from 1 species